rnacentral:rRNA from 1 species
GACGAACGCUGGCGGCGUGCCUAAUACAUGCAAGUAGAACGCUGAAGAGAGGAGCUUGCUCUUCUUGGAUGAGUUGCGAACGGGUGAGUAACGCGUAGGUAACCUGCCUGGUAGCGGGGGAUAACUAUUGGAAACGAUAGCUAAUACCGCAUAAAAUGGAUUAUCGCAUGAUAAUCCAUUGAAAGGUGCAAAUGCAUCACUACCAGAUGGACCUGCGUUGUAUUAGCUAGUUGGUGGGGUAACGGCUCACCAAGGCGACGAUACAUAGCCGACCUGAGAGGGUGAUCGGCCACACUGGGACUGAGACCCGGCCCAGACUCCUACGGGAGGCAGCAGUAGGGAAUCUUCGGCAAUGGACGGAAGUCUGACCGAGCAACGCCGCGUGAGUGAAGAAGGUUUUCGGAUCGUAAAGCUCUGUUGUAAGAGAAGAACGAGUGUGAGAGUGGAAAGUUCACACUGUGACGGUAUCUUACCAGAAAGGGACGGCUAACUACGUG